rnacentral:rRNA from 1 species
UUCGGGAAACCGGAGCUAAUACCGGAUAAUAUAUGAACCGCAUGGUUCAAUAGUGAAAGACGGUUUUGCUGUCACUUAUAGAUGGAUCCGCGCCGCAUUAGCUAGUUGGUAAGGUAACGGCUUACCAAGGCAACGAUGCGUAGCCGACCUGAGAGGGUGAUCGGCCACACUGGAACUGAGACACGGUCCAGACUCCUACGGGAGGCAGCAGCC